rnacentral:lncRNA from 1 species
UGAUAUGAAAGGAAGAUAACAGCAAUAAGAUUCGAGCAUAUGAACUAAAGUAUUCUCAGUGCAUCGAAGAACCUGAGAUUAUCAGCAUGCCAUGAAUAAAUGAUUAUAACUCUGUAAAGAGCCUAAGAACUUCCUAGAUCCGCGGCAGGGAAACAACAAUAAACAUGCAAUCGGAUCAACAACCACAUUAGGAACCCUAAUUAGGGUACGAAUCAACUUACCACGAGUCGAUCCACACGAUCGGUGAACUCCUCAAGGAAGAAGGCCUCGAUCGCCCUCCACCAUCGGCGUGGCUGCGAGGAUUUCUCGGACGAAACCAUAAAUCACGAGCUAGGGUUUGACGUUGCAUCUUCAUCAAGGGAUUUGGGGAGGAUGAGAAGAGAGUGGAGCCGAGGAGGAUGAGAUCGGUGACGCUCCGAGCUAGGGUUUGGUGAGGCAUCUAAUCUACGAGGAAUGGAUUUGGGGAGGAGGAGAAAGGGGAGAGGAGACGAAGGGUUCGAUGAGGAGAGCUCCGAUUCGAA